AUUGAACGCUGGCGGCAUGCUUUACACAUGCAAGUCGAACGGCAGCGCGGGCUUCGGCCUGGCGGCGAGUGGCGAACGGGUGAGUAAUGCAUCGGAACGUGCCCAGUAGUGGGGGAUAGCCCGGCGAAAGCCGGAUUAAUACCGCAUACGACCUGAGGGUGAAAGCGGGGGACCGAAAGGCCUCGCGCUAUUGGAGCGGCCGAUGUCGGAUUAGCUAGUUGGUGGGGUAAAGGCUUACCAAGGCGACGAUCCGUAGCUGGUCUGAGAGGACGACCAGCCACACUGGGACUGAGACACGGCCCAGACUCCUACGGGAGGCAGCAGUGGGGAAUGUUGGACAAUGGGGGCAACCCUGAUCCAGCCAUGCCGCGUGCGGGAAGAAGGCCUUCGGGUUGUAAAGCGCUUUUGUUCGGGAAGAAAUCCUCUGGGCUAAUACCCCGGGGGGAUGACGGUACCGGAAGAAUAAGCACCGGCUAACUACGUG
rnacentral:rRNA from 1 species